UGAGUAUUAGGCAAAUCCGGUACUCGUUAAGGCUGAGCUGUGAUGGGGAGAAGACAUUGAGUCUUCGAGUCGUUGAUUUCACACUGCCGAGAAAAGCCUCUAGAUAGAAAAUAGGUGCCCGUACCGCAAACCGACACAGGUAGUCAAGAUGAGAAUUCUAAGGUGAGCGAGCGAACUCUCGUUAAGGAACUCGGCAAAAUGACCCCGUAACUUCGGGAGAAGGGGUGCUCUUUAGGGUUAACGCCCAGAAGAGCCGCAGUGAAUAGGCCCAAGCGACUGUUUAUCAAAAACACAGGUCUCUGCUAAACCGUAAGGUGAUGUAUAGGGGCUGACGCCUGCCCGGUGCUGGAAGGUUAAGAGGAGUGGUUAGCUUCUGCGAAGCUACGAAUCGAAGCCCCAGUAAACGGCGGCCGUAACUAUAACGGUCCUAAGGUAGCGAAAUUCCUUGUCGGGUAAGUUCCGACCCGCACGAAAGGCGUAACGAUUUGGGCACUGUCUCAACGAGAGACUCGGUGAAAUCAUAGUACCUGUGAAGAUGCAGGUUACCCGCGACAGGACGGAAAGACCCCGUGGAGCUUUACUGUAGCCUGAUAUUGAAAUUCGGCACAGCUUGUACAGGAUAGGUAGGAGCCUUUGAAACGUGAGCGCUAGCUUACGUGGAGGCGCUGGUGGGAUACUACCCUAGCUGUGUUGGCUUUCUAACCCGCACCACUUAUCGUGGUGGGAGACAGUGUCAGGCGGGCAGUUUGACUGGGGCGGUCGCCUCCUAAAAGGUAACGGAGGCGCUCAAAGGUUCCCUCAGAAUGGUUGGAAAUCAUUCAUAGAGUGUAAAGGCAUAAGGGAGCUUGACUGCGAGACCUACAAGUCGAGCAGGGUCGAAAGACGGACUUAGUGAUCCGGUGGUUCCGCAUGGAAGGGCCAUCGCUCAACGGAUAAAAGCUACCCCGGGGAUAACAGGCUUAUCUCCCCCAAGAGUUCACAUCGACGGGGAGGUUUGGCACCUCGAUGUCGGCUCAUCGCAUCCUGGGGCUGUAGUCGGUCCCAAGGGUUGGGCUGUUCGCCCAUUAAAGCGGUACGCGAGCUGGGUUCAGAACGUCGUGAGACAGUUCGGUCCCUAUCCGUCGUGGGCGUAGGAAAUUUGAGAGGAGCUGUCCUUAGUACGAGAGGACCGGGAUGGACAUACCUCUGGUGUACCAGUUGUCGUGCCAACGGCAUAGCUGGGUAGCUAUGUGUGGACGGGAUAAGUGCUGAAAGCAUCUAAGCAUGAAGCCCCCCUCAAGAUGAGAUUUCCCAACUUCGGUUAUAAGAUCCCUCAAAGAUGAUGAGGUUAAUAGGUUCGAGGUGGAAGCAUGGUGACAUGUGGAGCUGACGAAUACUAAUCGAUCGAAGACUUAAUC
rnacentral:rRNA from 1 species